rnacentral:rRNA from 1 species
AUACGGAGGGUGCAAGCGUUACUCGGAAUCACUGGGCGUAAAGCGCGCGCAGGCGGCUUGAUAAGUUGUAUGUGAAAGCCUACGGCUCAACCGUAGAACUGCAUCCAAAACUGUCAAGAUAGAGUGUGGGAGAGGAAGAUGGAAUUAGUUGUGUAGGGGUAAAAUCCGUAGAGAUAACUAGGAAUACCAAAAGCGAAGGCAAUCUUCUGGAACACUACUGACGCUGAGGCGCGAAAGCGUGGGGAGCAAACGGGAUUAGAUACCCUAGUAGUCC